UACGUAGGUGGCAAGCGUUGUCCGGAAUUAUUGGGCGUAAAGCGCGCGCAGGCGGCCUCCUAAGUCUGAUGUGAAAGCCCACGGCUCAACCGUGGAGGGUCAUUGGAAACUGGGGGACUUGAGUGCAGGAGAGAAGAGUGGAAUUCCACGUGUAGCGGUGAAAUGCGGUAGAGAUGUGGAGGAACACCAGUGGCGAAGGCGACUCUUGGCCUGUAACUGACGCUGAGGCGCGAAGCGUGGGAGCAAACAGGA
rnacentral:rRNA from 1 species